rnacentral:lncRNA from 1 species
GAGUCAGAAGCAACUGAACUUUUUGUUGAAGUGAGAUAGUACCCUCAUUGAUAUUGUUUUGUUUUGUGGCACUGGGCUUUGACCAGGCACCUAACCUCCCCCUUAUCUUCGUUUUCCUCCAGGGCCCGCAACAACAGCUUCCUGGCCAAGGUGAUCCCUGCAUGCCAUGGGCUCCGGGAGCCAGACCACCCCGCGGAGCUGAAGCCCCCUCCUCCCUGCGCCUGGCCCUGCUCCAGGUAAGGAGCAGAGGCUGUGGAAGCAGAGGCUGGAUGGCCAUCUGUCGGGGGUGCUUUGAAUGCGAUUUCCUGCUUCUUGGCAGGGGGUUGGACUGGAUGGCCCAUGAGGUCUCUUCCAACUCUACUAUUCUAUGAUUCUAUGAUAAACCAAGAGGAGGAACAGCAGGGCUGCCGUAGUGCUAAAUUCCAGGAUCUCAACCUCAGCCACCAGAAAAGCAAAGUACAACUUCCCUCAAUCUGGACCAGGCAUGGGCCAACUUUGGCCCUCCCUCCGGGUGUUUUGGACUUCAACUCCCACAAUUCCUAACAGCCGGUAGGAAUUGUGUCCCAGCCAGUUUCUCUUCCUCCCUGCAGAACAUUUCCAGGCGGCUGAACAGUGAGAAGCUAUCAGAUGCUUCCAGCCUGGAGAUCCUGAUGCCGCGGCCCAGCCGGAUCCCCAUCCGCAGGAAGCCGGCCGGGCAGACCCAGCACCUGGUCCAGCUCCAGAGCUGCAUGGAUGACUCUGCCCUCAAGGUCUGGAAACUGAACACCUCUCAGUUGCCAACACAGAGUUCCCUGCCAGAGUUCCCGCUGGAGGUGCCCGACCUGACAGUCGCGGGGCAGAGAGAGGAGCCUCUUUUUCUCUGCGACCCUCCCAAGGUUUUGCUGGACGAGCAUCUCGCGGGGCAGGCAGACUCCCCGCAGCUCACCUACCACAAGAUCCUCUCCUUCUGCACCGAGGCCUGACUGGCCGGGAGGGGCAAGGGUGCGGCGGCCGGCCACCUCCGCCUCCACCUCCACGGGCACCGCCACCAGCAGCACCGCCCCGGAGCCAGAACCGGCCCCCCCUGCGGCGGCCCUGCGGACGACGGCGCCCUGCCCCUCCGCCUCCCCCCAGCGCCACCCUCCUCUUGGCCCCCUCCCGCGCCCCCAGCCCUGCCUCUUCAAGCCCAAGCGGCUCUUUGGGACCCCGGAGCCCCUGCUCCUGGCGCUUGGCCGCCUCCCCACGUUUAAGGCCCCCAGGCCCCCAACGUGCAGACCGCCUCCGAAGACACCCAAGGCCUGAAGGGGAGCGGCGGGGCGGCAGGGCCCUCACCCCUUCCUCGUUGCCCUCCUGGGGGGCCCGGCCCCGCAUCUCCUCUCUCUCGACUCUGUCCUGCCUCAAGGAUCCGACAGCUGCCUUCCUUUCUCUCCUGCCUGAGAUGCCGGGAGUCCGCCCGCCGGCCACUCUUGGGCAGCCUGCCUCCCGACCAGCAGCCUUGGGAAGUGGGGUUCGGGGGUUCACAACACGGCAAAGCAAGCCUGCCCAGCCCAGCCCUUCCCCUCCCGGGCCCUUUCUGCAGCUGUACAUAGUUGAUUCCUGGGCCGGAGACUUAUUUUUGAAAUGA